UACAGAGGUCUCAAGCGUUGUUCGGAUUCAUGGGGCGUAAAGGGUGCGUAGGUGGCGCGGUAAGUCGGGUGUGAAAUUUCGGAGCUUAACUCCGAAACUGCAUUCGAUACUGCCGUGCUUGAGGACUGGAGAGGAGACUGGAAUUUACGGUGUAGCAGUGAAAUGCGUAGAGAUCGUAAGGAAGACCAGUGGCGAAGGCGGGGUCUCUGGACAGUUCCUGACACUGAGGCAACGAAGGCCAGGGGGAGCAAACGGGG
rnacentral:rRNA from 1 species